CGAUUAGAGUUUGAUCCUGGCUCAGAUUGAACGCUGGCGGAAUGCUUUACACAUGCAAGUCGAACGGCAGCACGGACUUCGGUCUGGUGGCGAGUGGCGAACGGGUGAGUAACAUAUCGGAACGUAUCCAAUAAUGGGGGAUAACUAAUCGAAGGUUGGCUAAUACCGCAUACGCCCUACGGGGGAAAGCUAGGGACCUUCGGGCCUGGCGUUAAUGGAGCGGCCGAUAUCUGAUUAGCUAGUUGGUGGGGUAAAGGCCCACCAAGGCGACGAUCAGUAGCUGGUCUGAGAGGACGACCAGCCACACUGGAACUGAGACACGGUCCAGACUCCUACGGGAGGCAGCAGUGGGGAAUUUUGGACAAUGGGCGCAAGCCUGAUCCAGCCAUUCCGCGUGAGUGAAGAAGGCCUUCGGGUUGUAAAGCUCUUUCGCAAGGGAAGAAAACUUAGCCUCUAACAUAGGCUGAGGUUGACGGUACCUUGAUAAGAAGCACCGGCUAA
rnacentral:rRNA from 1 species